rnacentral:rRNA from 1 species
AUUGAACGCUGGCGGCAUGCCUUACACAUGCAAGUCGAACGGUAGAGGGGCAACCCUUGAGAGUGGCGAACGGGUGAGUAAUGCAUCGGAACGUGCCCAGUCGUGGGGGAUAACGUAGCGAAAGCUACGCUAAUACCGCAUACGACCUGAGGGUGAAGGCGGGGGACCUGCAAGGGCCUCGCGCGAUUGGAGCGGCCGAUGGCAGAUUAGGUAGUUGGUGGGGUAAAGGCCCACCAAGCCUGCGAUCUGUAGCUGGUCUGAGAGGACGACCAGCCACACUGGGACUGAGACACGGCCCAGACUCCUACGGGAGGCAGCAGUGGGGAAUUUUGGACAAUGGGCGAAAGCCUGAUCCAGCCAUACCGCGUGCGGGAAGAAGGCCUUCGGGUUGUAAACCGCUUUUGUCAGGGAAGAAAUCUUCCGGGUUAAUACCUCGGGGGGAUGACGGUGCCUGAAGAAUAAGCACCGGCUAACUACGUGCCAGCCGCCGCGGUAACAC